rnacentral:rRNA from 1 species
UACGUAGGGGGCGAGCGUUGUCCGGAUUUAUUGGGCGUAAAGCGCGCGUAGGUGGCUUCGUAAGUCCGUUGUGAAAGUCAAAGGCUCAACCUUUGAAAGCCGAUGGAUACUGUGAAGCUAGAGUACGGAAGAGGCGAGUGGAAUUCCUGGUGUAGCGGUGGAAUGCGCAGAUAUCAGGAGGAACACCGACGGCGAAGGCAGCACUCUGGGCCGGUACUGACGCUGAGGAGCGAAAGCGUGGGGAGCAAACAGG